CUUGAACUUUAUAAGAGGUCCAGCCUGCCCAGUGACUCUGUUCAACGGCCGCGGUAUCCUAACCGUGCGAAGGUAGCGUAAUCACUUGUUCUUUAAAUGUGGACUAGUAUGAAUGGCACUACGAGGGUUAUACUGUCUCCUUUUUCUAAUCAGUGAAACUAAUUUUCCCGUGAAGAAGCGGGAAUACAACUAUAAGACGAGAAGACCCUAUGGAGCUUUAAACAACCUAGCAAUUACUUCUAAAAUUAUAAAUUUCAGAAUACUCAUUCUUUAAGCAAUAUGUCUGCAAGUUUUUGGUUGGGGUGACCAUGGAGAAUAACACAACCUCCAUAUUGAAUGAAUUUUUAUUCUAAGCUGAGAAUUACUAAUUAAAGCAUCAACACACUGACAUUUAUUGACCCA
rnacentral:rRNA from 1 species